AUACGUAGGGUGCAAGCGUUAAUCGGAAUUACUGGGCGUAAAGCGUGCGCAGGCGGUUUUGUAAGACAGUGGUGAAAUCCCCGGGCUCAACCUGGGAACUGCCAUUGUGACUGCAAGGCUGGAGUGCGGCAGAGGGGGAUGGAAUUCCGCGUGUAGCAGUGAAAUGCGUAGAUAUGCGGAGGAACACCGAUGGCGAAGGCAAUCCCCUGGGCCUGCACUGACGCUCAUGCACGAAAGCGUGGGGAGCAAACAGGAUUAGAUACCCUGGUAGUCCACGCACUGAACGAUGUCAACUGGUUGUUGGGGAUUUAUUUUCUCAGUAACGAAGCUAACGCGUGAAGUUGACCGCCUGGGGAGUACGGCCGCAAGGUUAAAACUCAAAUGAAUUGACGGGG
rnacentral:rRNA from 1 species